AUUGAACGCUGGCGGCAGGCCUAACACAUGCAAGUCGAACGAGUGGCGGACGGGUGAGUAAUGUCUGGGAAACUGCCCGAUGGAGGGGGAUAACUACUGGAAACGGUAGCUAAUACCGCAUACCAUCGGAUGUGCCCAGAUGGGAUUAGCUAGUAGGUGGGGUAAAGGCUCACCUAGGCGGCGAUCCCUAGCUGGUCUGCGAGGAUGACCAGCCACACGGGGACUGAGACACGGUCCAGACUCCUACGGGAGGUCGCAGUGGGGCAUAUUGCACUAUGGGCGCAAGCCUGAUGCAGCCAUGCCGCGUGGAGGGAGAAGGCAUUCGGGUUGUAAAGUACUUUCAGCGGGGCGGCGUUACCCGCAGAAGAAGCACCGGCUAACUCCGUGCCAGCAGCCGCGGUAAUUC
rnacentral:rRNA from 1 species